GAUGAACGCUAGCGGCAGGCUUAAUACAUGCAAGUCGUGGGGCAGCAGGGGUAGCAAUACCCGCUGGCGACCGGCAAACGGGUGCGGAACACGUACGCAACCUUCCUUUAACUGGAGAAUAGCCCCUCGAAAGAGGGAUUAAUACUCCGUAACAUAUUGAAAAGGCAUCUUUUUAAUAUUAUAGCUCCGGCGGUUAAAGAUGGGCGUGCGCCUGAUUAGAUAGUUGGUGAGGUAACGGCUCACCAAGUCUGCGAUCAGUAACUGGUGUGAGAGCACGACCAGUCACACGGGCACUGAGACACGGGCCCGACUCCUACGGGAGGCAGCAGUAAGGGAUAUUGGUCAAUGGGCGCAAGCCUGAACCAGCCAAGUAGCGUGCAGGACGACGGCCCUA
rnacentral:rRNA from 1 species